rnacentral:rRNA from 1 species
UACGAAGGGGGCUAGCGUUGUUCGGAAUCACUGGGCGUAAAGGGUGCGUAGGCGGGUCUUUUAAGUCAGGGGUGAAAUCCUGGAGCUCAACUCCAGAACUGCCUUUGAUACUGAGAGUCUUGAGUUCGGGAGAGGUGAGUGGAACUGCGAGUGUAGAGGUGAAAUUCGUAGAUAUUCGCAAGAACACCAGUGGCGAAGGCGGCUCACUGGCCCGAUACUGACGCUGAGGCACGAAAGCGUGGGGAGCAAACAGG